rnacentral:rRNA from 1 species
GUGCACCAGUCGAGAAACCUCCGCAAUACACGAAAGUGUGACGGGGCCAUCCCGAGUGCCGUCCGCUGAGGACGGCUUUUCCCCAGUGUACACAGCUGGGGGAAUAAGGAGAGGGCAAGCCUGGUGUCAGCCGCCGCGGUAAUACCAGCUCUCCGAGUGGUGGGGACGCUUAUUGGGCCUAAAGCAUCCGUAGCCGGCUGGGCAAGUCCUCCGUUAAAUCCAACGAUUCAAUCGUUGGGCUGCGGGGAUACUGUCCAGCUUGGGGGCGGGAGAGGCCGACGGUAUUCCCGGGGUAGGGGUGAAAUCCUAUAAUCCCGGGAGGACCACCAGUGGCGAAGGCUGUCGGCUAGAACGCGCCCGACGGUGAGGGAUGAAAGCUGGGGGAGCGAACCGGAUUAGAUACCCGUGUAG